ensembl:snoRNA
AGCCAGUGAUGACAAGCUAAACAAACUUUUCUGACACCUACUAUGAGAGCUCAGUUUGCAGCUCCUGAUUCUAACUUUGUUCUGAGGCUG